GGGUGGUCCAAAUGCAGUGGUAUUUACAACUAAUUAAUCACAACCAGUUACAGAGUCCUUUGUUUUUUUCUUCACUUGCACUGCUUCAUAUGACUAGCCUAAA
ensembl:misc_RNA Y_RNA Y RNA